ACGGUUUCGAAUAUAGCCAUAUAGGCUAUGCAAGUGUGAAAUACAGAGUACUCCGUAACUGAGAUCUUCUUCGACCUAUCUUCUUCAACCUAAUUUCAGUUUUCUGGCGGAAAAACUUUGAUACAAUCAGCAAGUUUGGUUGGGAAACGUGAAUAUUAGAUUGAAAUCUCGUUUCCCAUUCGUUUCCGGGAUGAAUUCAGUUUCAAACACGUCUCCAUUUUUCUGAAACGGUUUCGGCGCGCGUUUCCCGGUUUCCCCGUUCCAGGACGUUUCGGAAACGGCAUAAAUUUGAUACUGGCAAAAGAAGAUCUACUGUAAAAACAAACUACGGUACUACUACUUAUUGUUUUAUUUCUGAUGCUGGUACGAUCAUAUUGGAGGCUGAAUAGAGAGGAAACUAUAGGAGUUGGAAACAUCCAGGGAACAAGAGCUGAUUUUUUUCUGAAUAGGGAAGGCCAGUGGCCCUUACAGUGGUCAUAGUUUAGGCUCUUUUCCAGAUUUCUCAAGACUCGUUUAAUUUGGAGGUACCAUGAAGGGUAAAGCUUGUGUGUUAAAAAUUAUGUUCGCUGUCCAGAGUAUUAAAGUUGAUUUGUUUAAUUAUUAUCGUAACACAAGUCCUUUCACGAAAGCUUGUUUUUUCUCAUCAACAACUGAAAGUUCCAGCAGAUCAUCUCCACAUAUAGAUGAGAGGGUGCAGGAAUCUGUAAAGGUAGCAGCGUUCCCGAAAUGUGCAACUGAUGUUUUGAGGAAUUAUGGUUGUAGUGAAAGCCAAAUAUGUACAAUUUUCUCCCGACAGCCAUCAUUGCGCACUUGUAUCCCUACUAAUCUUGAAUCUAAGCUUAAUUUGCUUAGGAAAUUGGGUGUAUCGUCCUCUGAACUUGUGAAUAUGAUCCACUGUCGUCCGCGGCUUCUGUGUUGCCGAAUUAAUCGAAACUUUGAUGAACGUCUAGCUCAUCUGCAAUCUCUAUUUGAGUCGAGGGAUAGUUGUGUUAAAGCAAUCAUUAGGAAUCCCUCACUUCUGAUCUAUGACUUUCACAAGACGGUUGAACCUGUGAUCUCAUUGUAUGAGAAAAUGGGUCUCAGUAAAAAGGAUGUGAUUUCCAUGCUCAUGCUUCGGCCUACAAUAGUUCAUAGAACCAGUAUGAGCCCAGAGAAACUAGAGUACAUACGAAGGAUAGGAAUCUGCAGUAGAUCGAAAAUGUACAAGUAUGUGGUGACAAUAAUUGGUGUGUCACGUUUUGAGACUAUCCGUGAAAAGGUUGCAAAUCUUGAGGAUUAUGGUUUCUCAGAAGAUGAGGUGUUGGCACUUAUUGGUCGAUCUCCAUUGUUAAUGACUCUUUCUGUGGAAAAAGUUAAAAGGAAUAUGGCCUUUAUGAUGGGUACUAUGAAGCUGCCUGCCAAAACAAUAUGUCGUUAUCCAUUUUUGCUGUUUUCUAAUUUGGAAACAGUAUUGAGGCCUAGAGUGCUAUUGGCUGGUAAGAUGCGAGGAAUGGAUCUCAGCCCAGAACUAAAUGGAGCUGUAAUGUUAAAGGCAUUGAGAAUGACAGAACCGAGGUUCUUAAAGAGGUUUGUUGAGUGCCAGGAGGAGGAAAUCAGGAAACAGUUAUUGUCGUAUUAUAGAGUAUUUAAAGGCAUCAAGCUGUUGGCAGCAUCAUCUAAGAAAGCUUCGUAUACCUCUGGAUUUCCUUUCUGAAGACGCCUACUAUAGUUGUGCAUAUUUGGUGCAAACUGUGUAACUAUGGAGCUGUUGUGACUGUGAUGACAUGGAAAUCCCAAACCUUUAAAAUGCAUGCAAUUGGAGUACUGUGCUUAAGAACAGUGCUCCAUGUGCUUUCCUUCAUUUAACCUGAUUUUUUCCAUUUCCCCCAAUUUUCACAUUCUCUCUCAACCUAGCUUUCAUCCGCCCCUUCUCCCCUCUCCUCCAUCCUCCUCCCCUUUCUCCACCAGGGCCACCGUGUCAUUUUUUUUUUCCCUUAUCACUCUCUAUUACUCAUUUUCUCUGUCCUCUAAUCUCUUUCAGUAUCUCUAUUACUCAAUUAUUAAUUGCCAAAAAAAAAGAAGAAAAAAUCUCUUUCAGUAUCUCUCAUCGCUUGGACAUGCGAUACAUUUGCAGAUCUGCUCAUCUGGUCGAUUUUUUGGGCUAUUUGACAAGAUCAUAUGGAUCCGGACAACGUGACUUGUGAGGAUGAUUGUGAUACUCCCAAGUGCACCUCCAUUUUUCCACUCCGGUCAAGACAUCAACCAAGCUGUGCUUGGAUCCUAUAAUGAAGCUUCUGCUGAUUCUCAUGGUGCUUCUAACAAAAACGAGCCAAAUGUCCCUAAUGUUAUGCCAUCUGGUGCCAAUCAAGAGGGAAAUAAGGUUCCUCGUCAACAAGCAAGAACCACAGCCGGUGCAAAAUUUGCAAGGUCUUCUGGUUCACAUUCUGCUCGUCUACCUACUUUCCGUGCAAGAAGGUACAACAGAUAAAGCAACUCAGGGUUACUGCAGCAAGCUGAGUAGUUAGAAAUUGUUAGGGCAUCAAGCUAGCCAAUGAGUAAGUGGCUAUGCAUUUGCCAGUCCCGUGUUUUUAAAAGAGGGUGUGGCAUAAGUUAACUCUUUGCAGACAGCCUUAAGGAUUUGUAGAAUUUGCAAACUCAGCUACGGGGUUGAACGUGCAAUGGUUGGAGUUGAUCAUUUCUGUUUCAAGCAAGGAGAGAUGCAGAUUUUCUUGGUUUUCCUGUUUUGCCAACUGAUGUCAAAGAUCAUCUUUCAAGGUAUAUAUGUUGAGAAAUAAGAAGCAUGCAUUUAUCAAGGAUUACACUGAAGCCCAUACCAAACUCAACAACCUUGGAGCCACAUUUAUCCCCCGAGAAUUUCAGUUGGCACAAAAGAGGUCAAGAUGUGCUGAAAUGCAUCCGUUGUGUCGUUCCCAAAUGAGUUGAUCAUGAACUCAGCUGAACUACAAGCUGCAGGAACUGAUGACCCUCUGUACACUUUGCAGAUGUACGCAAUGAAGGUUUGGUAGUCCUGCACUGCAAACCACCCAACAGUCAAAACACGGUGUAGCAAAUCAAUAAAGACGAAAGAGAGCGAGUGAGGGGUUUAAACCUGACGAAAGUGGCUGAUUGUUGACAAGCACCCAUGGCACAUGCGCCAAAAUAGUUAUUUAUGUAGAUUGGUUCAACCGUAACAUUUCCCGUAGCUAUUGAUGAAUCAUGUACUCUUUGUCUGAUUCUUAUAUUUUUUUGGCUAAGUUCCUUUUCGAGGUUAUUUUCCCUGGGCCUAAUCAUUUUUCUUAUUUGCUAAUUUGAUUUUAUGGAUUGAUUUUAAUAUCAUGGGGAACAAAAUAAGUGACAAUUGUGAACAAAUAGACUUGGGAUUUGUAAGUGUAUUUUUCUUCAAAAUUUCCAUUA